UUAAGCGACUAAGCGUACACGGUGGAUGCCCUGGCAGUCAGAGGCGAUGAAGGACGUGCUAAUCUGCGAAAAGCGUCGGUAAGGUGAUAUGAACCGUUAUAACCGGCGAUGUCCGAAUGGGGAAACCCAGUGUGAUUCGUCACACUAUCGUUAACUGAAUACAUAGGUUAACGAGGCGAACCGGGGGAACUGAAACAUCUAAGUACCCCGAGGAAAAGAAAUCAACCGAGAUUCCCCCAGUAGCGGCGAGCGAACGGGGAGCAGCCCAGAGUCUGAAUCAGCUUGUGUGUUAGUGGAACGGUCUGGAAAGUCCGACGGUACAGGGUGAUAGUCCCGUACACCAAAAUGCACAGGCUGUGAACUCGAAGAGUAGGGCGGGACACGUGGUAUCCUGUCUGAAUAUGGGGGGACCAUCCUCCAAGGCUAAAUACUCCUGACUGACCGAUAGUGAACCAGUACCGUGAGGGAAAGGCGAAAAGAACCCCGGCGAGGGGAGUGAAAAAGAACCUGAAACCGUGUACGUACAAGCAGUGGGAGCACCUUCGGGUGUGACUGCGUACCUUUUGUAUAAUGGGUCAGCGACUUAUAUUCUGUAGCAAGGUUAACCGUAUAGGGGAGCCGCAGGGAAACCGAGUCUUAACUGGGCGUUAAGUUGCAGGGUAUAGACCCGAAACCCGGUGAUCUAGCCAUGGGCAGGUUGAAGGUUGGGUAACACUAACUGGAGGACCGAACCGACUAAUGUUGAAAAAUUAGCGGAUGACUUGUGGCUGGGGGUGAAAGGCCAAUCAAACCGGGAGAUAGCUGGUUCUCCCCGAAAGCUAUUUAGGUAGCGCCUCGUGAAUUCAUCUUCGGGGGUAGAGCACUGUUUCGGCUAGGGGGUCAUCCCGACUUACCAACCCGAUGCAAACUACGAAUACCGAAGAAUGUUAUCACGGGAGACACACGGCGGGUGCUAACGUCCGUCGUGAAGAGGGAAACAACCCAGACCGCCAGCUAAGGUCCCAAAGUCAUGGUUAAGUGGGAAACGAUGUGGGAAGGCACAGACAGCCAGGAUGUUGGCUUAGAAGCAGCCAUCAUUUAAAGAAAGCGUAAUAGCUCACUGGUCGAGUCGGCCUGCGCGGAAGAUGUAACGGGGCUAAACCAUGCACCGAAGCUGCGGCAGCGACACUAUGUGUUGUUGGGUAGGGGAGCGUUCUGUAAGCCUGCGAAGGUGUGCUGUGAGGCAUGCUGGAGGUAUCAGAAGUGCGAAUGCUGACAUAAGUAACGAUAAAGCGGGUGAAAAGCCCGCUCGCCGGAAGACCAAGGGUUCCUGUCCAACGUUAAUCGGGGCAGGGUGAGUCGACCCCUAAGGCGAGGCCGAAAGGCGUAGUCGAUGGGAAACAGGUUAAUAUUCCUGUACUUGGUGUUACUGCGAAGGGGGGACGGAGAAGGCUAUGUUAGCCGGGCGACGGUUGUCCCGGUUUAAGCAUGUAGGCUGGUUAUCCAGGCAAAUCCGGAUAAUCAAGGCUGAGGUGUGAUGACGAGGCACUACGGUGCUGAAGUAACAAAUGCCCUGCUUCCAGGAAAAGCCUCUAAGCAUCAGGUAACAUCAAAUCGUACCCCAAACCGACACAGGUGGUCAGGUAGAGAAUACCAAGGCGCUUGAGAGAACUCGGGUGAAGGAACUAGGCAAAAUGGUGCCGUAACUUCGGGAGAAGGCACGCUGGUGUGUAGGUGAAGUCCCUGCGGAUGGAGCUGAGACCAGUCGAAGAUACCAGCUGGCUGCAACUGUUUAUUAAAAACACAGCACUGUGCAAACACGAAAGUGGACGUAUACGGUGUGACGCCUGCCCGGUGCCGGAAGGUUAAUUGAUGGGGUUAUCCGUAAGGAGAAGCUCUUGAUCGAAGCCCCGGUAAACGGCGGCCGUAACUAUAACGGUCCUAAGGUAGCGAAAUUCCUUGUCGGGUAAGUUCCGACCUGCACGAAUGGCGUAAUGAUGGCCAGGCUGUCUCCACCCGAGACUCAGUGAAAUUGAACUCGCUGUGAAGAUGCAGUGUACCCGCGGCAAGACGGAAAGACCCCGUGAACCUUUACUAUAGCUUGACACUGAACAUUGAGCCUUGAUGUGUAGGAUAGGUGGGAGGCUUUGAAGCGUGGACGCCAGUCUGCGUGGAGCCAACCUUGAAAUACCACCCUUUAAUGUUUGAUGUUCUAACGUUGGCCCCUUACCGGGGUUGCGGACAGUGUCUGGUGGGUAGUUUGACUGGGGCGGUCUCCUCCCAAAGCGUAACGGAGGAGCACGAAGGUUAGCUAAUCCUGGUCGGACAUCAGGAGGUUAGUGCAAUGGCAUAAGCUAGCUUGACUGCGAGCGUGACGGCGCGAGCAGGUGCGAAAGCAGGUCAUAGUGAUCCGGUGGUUCUGAAUGGAAGGGCCAUCGCUCAACGGAUAAAAGGUACUCCGGGGAUAACAGGCUGAUACCGCCCAAGAGUUCAUAUCGACGGCGGUGUUUGGCACCUCGAUGUCGGCUCAUCACAUCCUGGGGCUGAAGUAGGUCCCAAGGGUAUGGCUGUUCGCCAUUUAAAGUGGUACGCGAGCUGGGUUUAGAACGUCGUGAGACAGUUCGGUCCCUAUCUGCCGUGGGCGCUGGAGAAUUGAGGGGGGCUGCUCCUAGUACGAGAGGACCGGAGUGGACGCAUCACUGGUGUUCGGGUUGUCAUGCCAAUGGCACUGCCCGGUAGCUAAAUGCGGAAGAGAUAAGUGCUGAAAGCAUCUAAGCACGAAACUUGCCCCGAGAUGAGUUCUCCCUGAGACUUUAAGUCUCCUGAAGGAACGUUAAAGACGAUGACGUUGAUAGGCCGGGUGUGUAAGCGCAGCGAUGCGUUGAGCUAACCGGUACUAAUGAACCGUGAGGCUUAACCUU
rnacentral:rRNA from 2 species